GCGCGGUUGGCGUAGUGGUCAACGCAUCCACAAAGUUCGAAGACCAUGCGGGUUGAAAUCCCCGCCGAACCACUUUCAAAGACCGAUUUUGGGGGAAUAAAUGGCCAGAACAAGAAUGUGGAAGACCCAGGUUCGACUCCUGGACUGCGCA
rnacentral:tRNA from 1 species